UGCAAUUUAAUGUAGCACAAAAGUUUUAAAAAAAAUUAAAAGUCUUACAACGUAUUUUUAUUUAUUGUAGCUAUAUCUUAGACUUUCAUUAACCGACCAAGAAAGGAAAUCAAGCUACAUCCGAUUAUGUCUUUAUUGAUUGUAUGGGUAAGAGAGCAAAUUCAAAUUGAAAGGUUGCAUAUUCAUAUGCAAGAAAUGGGUAAAACAAAAAAACAAAAAAACAAAAAAACAAAAAAACGGUUUUGAACAAAACAGUGGUAAAGUGAGUUUGGUUUCCGAGUUUUCCGCCACAGGCCGCGAACACGUUGGAGGACCAACGAGUGCGAGUCGCCAGGUGGCGCUGUGACGAACACGGAGCUGCACAAUUGCGGCGCGCGAACUGCUGAGGAAAAAAGCGCUCCAGUCCGGUUCGAGAAAGCACUGAGAAGAGGUGGGAUCCUUCCUGCAAUCCGUGGUUUUUAAAAAAAAAACAGUUAGUGUAACGACACCGAGCGACCAGCUGCUCAGCUGCUCCAUCAUGAUCUGCUCCUGGGAAACAUCGACCGGUCGCUCUGGCGUCGCUUAUUUCUUUUACAGAAACAUUGUUUUAUUCACACGACGCUUCAUUUCGGAUUCCUUUCAAGUUCAUUUUUACAGUGGGUAUCAUUAUCAAGCAAAGGCAACAUUUUAAUCCUGCGACAGAAGAAAUGGCACAUGGGCGGAAGCAGAAGUAAACAUUGAAAUAAACAGCUGAAACUCCGUUUGUCUUAAGCA
rnacentral:lncRNA from 1 species